rnacentral:lncRNA from 1 species
UCACAUGUUUAUCCUUCAAAAAUGCUGUAUCAGUAUUUGGUGCAGUCAAGAAUUGAUGAUCAGACUUCUUUUCAGUACUAUCUACUAGUCAAGUACAAACAGGUUAUGCCCAACAAUAGUACAAAUACCAAAGUCCCACAUCGAGUUAAACUGGAAUUAAACAAUACACUUCACACUAUAACAACAAUUAUCACCACAUUGUUUCCUUAAAUGAUCAAUUCCCACAUUGGUUAGAUGAUAAAAGGCCAAGGAAGUUUUCCUUAUAAAGGCCUAGUAAGUAGCAAGCCAAGCUUUCUUUGAAAAAUGUCAAACCCAAGCUUCAGGUCGAUCUAGGCUGUAGACCAGGUCGGACUUUUAAGAAGACCAGACCAGGGUGGAUUUUGAUCAGUAAAUUGUGGUAUGUUAUUAGCCUUGCAAGCUAGGUUUUGCCUAGGCCUGUUGUUGUUCACCAGGCCGGACCAAGGCUUAAGCCGCGGGCUAUUUGUGCACCACUAACCCCGGCCAAAGAGAACUUUUGUUGCUUGUCUUUAUCUGUAACAACAAAUAUUAUUCUUAUAUUAAUUAAGGUUCCUAUUCAUAAUAAUGUCAUUUAAAGGUUCAUGGUCAAAAUAUCAAUUUAUCAUUGUUUACAGGUCAAAUAUAUUCAAUUAUACCACAAAUGGUCAUGAUUAUGUAAAUCCAUAAUUCAUCUUUGCACUAUGGACAAAGAUAUUCAACUGUAACACCAAUGAUCAUGAUCAUGUCAAUCAACAAUUACUCUUUACACUCAG